rnacentral:rRNA from 1 species
GACGAACGCUGGCGGCGUGCUUAACACAUGCAAGUCGAACGGAAAGGCCCUGCUUUGGGGGGGUGCUGGAGGGGCGAAGGGGGGGGUAACAGGGGAGUAACCUGCCCUGGACUUUGGGAUAACUUCAGGAAACGGGGGCUAAUACCGGAUAGGAGCUCCUGCUGCAUGGUGGGGGUUGGAAGGUUUCGGCGGUUGGGGAUGGACUCGCGGCUUAUCAGCUUGUUGGUGGGGUAGUGGCUUACCAAGGCUUUGACGGGUAGCCGGCCUGAGAGGGUGACCGGCCACAUUGGGACUGAGAUACGGCCCAGACUCCUACGGGAGGCAGCAGUGGGGAAUAUUGCACAAUGGGCGGAAGCCUGAUGCAGCAACGCCGCGUGCGGGAUGACGGCCUUCGGGUUGUAAACCGCUUUCGCCUGUGACGAAGCGUGAGUGACGGUAAUGGGUAAAGAAGCACCGGCUAACUACGUG